CUGAAUCCAGCCUCCUGCUGUGGGGGAAAAAGGGACAUCACAGAGUCUUGAGGAGUCCAGAGGAGCCUGAGAGGAGCAAAGAGCCCAUCCCAGCUGGCUGCAGCUGAGUCAGCAGGGGAAUCUUCUG